GAUGAAACUAUAUCAACAUAGUAAAAGUCAAAAAAAAUUCUCACAGCUUGUCAGGAAAGCGUGUAAAUUACAAGAGGUGAUUUCCAUGGAAGAGUAAUACAAUGAAAUAACUAGCAGCUCUUGAGCUAGGACGGGUAUACAUGUGUCACCAAGUUACCAAUCAAAUUCAGCAGCUCCUUACGCUGGGCCUUGUCAGUGGUAAUUCCAAUGUCCCCUGUCAAAUUUUUUUUAUUUUUUUUAUCACGAUUAGAUGUCAAAUGGAUAAAUUAAGCAGAAAGCGGAUGAUUUAGGCAGCAGAAACAUUAAGAAUACGCUACCAGUUGAAAAAUGACAUUCUUUUACAAAUAGAAUCUACAUUACAGGUCAAGGUCUGUAUAUAAGAUAUUCUGAAGGCUCAUUAAGGUUCAUUUUUUACAAGCCAUGACUAAUGAAGGCUCAAAUUUCAUGAUGCAGCACAAUCUAUUUGAAGGUGUGAAUGAGCUCCGAAACUUGAUGAACCAAGUCAUGAAUCGAGCAUCAACUGGCUGUGAUACCAAGUUGUUGAAUGCCCUUGAAUAGAAUCUCACAUAGGUCGAUUAACCGGAAAAUCCUACUCUCCCAGACUGAUUUUCUUUAUUAAUGUUUCUACUUUUUUUAAGGAAUCUAUUAUGAAAUAAAUUGAGAACUUGUUUGAGAGAAUUCUUGAAUCUCAUUAACUGAUUAACAAGCAC
rnacentral:lncRNA from 1 species